CAGCCGCCGCGGUAAUACGAAGGGGGCUAGCGUUGCUCGGAAUGACUGGGCGUAAAGGGCGCGUAGGCGGCGGCCAAAGUCAGGCGUGAAAUUCCUGGGCUCAACCUGGGGGCUGCGUUUGAUACUUGGUUGCUUGAGUGGGGAAGAGGGUCGUGGAAUUCCCAGUGUAGAGGUGAAAUUCGUAGAUAUUGGGAAGAACACCGGUGGCGAAGGCGGCGACCUGGUCCUUUACUGACGCUGAGGCGCGAAAGCGUGGGGAGCAAACAGGAUUAGAUACCCCCGUAGUCCCUGUCUCUUAUAC
rnacentral:rRNA from 1 species